rnacentral:rRNA from 1 species
CGCCCUUGAGUUUGAUCAUGGCUCAGGACGAACGCUGGCGGCAUGCCUAACACAUGCAAGUCUAGGGGCUCUUCGGAGUCACUGGCGCACGGGUGAGUAACACGUAGGUCAUCUACCCCUAUCACAGACAUAACAGCGGGAAACCGUUGCUAAUAUCUGAUGAGGUCGCGAGAUCAAAGCUUCGGCGGAUAGGGAUGAGCCUGCGGCUGAUUAGCUAGUUGGAGAGGUAACGGCUCCCCAAGGCAACGAUCAGUAGCUGGUCUGAGAGGACGAACAGCCACACUGGAACUGAGACACGGUCCAGACUCCUACGGGAGGCAGCAGUGAGGAAUAUUGGUCAAUGGGAGCAAUCCUGAACCAGCAAUGGCCGCGUGUGGGAUGACGGGGCUCAGUUUUUUUUACCACUGUCGGACGGGACGAGAGGGACCCCUGGGGUCCUGGGACGGUACCGUCAAAGGAAGGGUCGGCUAACUACGUGCCAGCAGCCGCGGUAA